rnacentral:rRNA from 1 species
GAUGAACGCUGGCGGCGUGCUUAACACAUGCAAGUCGAACGGUGAAACCGGAGCUUGCCUUGUGGGAUCAGUGGCGAACGGGUGAGUAACACGUGAGCAACCUGCCCCUGACUCUGUGAUAAGCGCUGGAAACGGCGUCUAAUACUGGAUAUGUGACGUUACCGCAUGGUCUUCGUUUGGAAAGGUUUUUCGGUUUGGGAUGGGUUCGCGGCCUCUCGGCUUGUUGGUGAGGUAAUGGCGGACCAAGGUGUCGACGGGUAGCCGGCCUGGGAGGGUGACCGGCGACAAGAGGACUGAGAGACGGAGCAGAAGGCAACGGGAGGCAACGGGGGGAAAUAUGGCACAAUGGGGGCGAGCGUGAGACAGAGGCGCCGGGUGAGGGAUGACGGGCUUCGGGGGAAAAACCACUUUGAGCAGGGAAGAAGAGAAAGUGACGGUACCUGAAGAAAAAGCGCCGGCUAACUACGUG